rnacentral:rRNA from 1 species
UACGAAGGGGGCUAGCGUUGCUCGGAAUCACUGGGCGUAAAGGGUGCGUAGGCGGGUUUUUAAGUCAGAGGUGAAAUCCUGGAGCUCAACUCCAGAACUGCCUUUGAUACUGAAAAUCUUGAGUAUGGGAGAGGUGAGUGGAACUGCGAGUGUAGAGGUGAAAUUCGUAGAUAUUCGCAAGAACACCAGUGGCGAAGGCGGCUCACUGGCCCAUGACUGACGCUGAGGCACGAAAGCGUGGGGAGCAAACAGG